UACGUAGGAUGCAAGCGUUGUCCGGAAUUAUUGGGCGUAAAGAGCGCGCAGGCGGUCUGCCAAGUCAGAUGUGAAAGAGGCCGGCUUAACCGGCAAGGGUCAUUUGAAACUGACAGACUAGAGUGCAGCAGAGGAUAGCGGAAUUCCCGGUGUAGUGGUGAAAUGCGUAGAUAUCGGGAGGAACACCAGUGGCGAAGGCGGCUCUCUGGGACGGUACUGACGCUGAGACGCGAAAGCGUGGGGAGCAAACAGG
rnacentral:rRNA from 1 species